rnacentral:lncRNA from 1 species
GCCGGACAGAGAGGAGGUACGACGUGGUUUCAGCAACAGGUGAGUGACCGUGACCUUAUCUCCGAAGGCGACAGCUUUGAAAACAUGGGUGUGUACCUGGAAAAGGCCGUGUCGCUCUCUGUACUCCUGCAGAAGCAAACUGGCGUGCGUCCGCUGUACUUUGGCUGCAACCUUCGUCGCCCGACGCCACCACCUCCGACCUCUGCUCCUACGGUGUGUGCAACGCCACGCUCGUCAUGAAGUGCAUACUGGAAAAGGUUGUUAACAUGUCCAGUGGGCUGCGCUCCUGACAGUGGCGCCACCUUCCCCCCUGCACUUAAGAAAGCAGUGCGUGGCAGUACGUAGCUGAGUGUGGUUUAGGAUUGAUGUGUGCCGCUAACAGUGAGGGAAGGAAUCUUGAGAAAAGGCAAACACUAGUCACAACCAGCAAGUGUAUGCUCCACCAGUCCCCCAAGCCCCCUCAGCACUACCUCUCCGCCUGCUGUGCCUCCACCUCAACAGGGAUGGGGUCAGCAGGAGGACUGUAUGUGGCAUGUGACUUGCUCCUGCUGCAGCCCCUCACAGUGGUCCUCUUCACUCUGCCGGGUCACAGGUCAAUGCACGGCUUGCUCUUGUGUCAGUGUGGAUUGGCUGGAGAAAUGGUCAUUUACAGUGGAUGAGAGGAUGGGGCAGUGUCUCCUGGAGCUGUGAGAGGUGAUGGAGGUGAUACGAUACCUUGAGUACACUCAGGACCUGCAUGCAACACCACCUCAUGCGGACACCUUCUCCAUUGACCUUGUAAUGUUUGUUAGCAAGCUGGUGGAGUCACAGGACCAGGAGCAGAGGUCCUGAUGGUGCUGGAUUCCUGCAGGAAGAGGAUAGAAUUCUACAGCAUGCCAGUCAAGAUAAAGGACACUCCACCACUGCCCGACAAUGGAGAGUAGCAAGAGCAUGUAGUUUCAAGGUCAUCUUCUCCCAAAAGCAAAGCAGAACCUCUCUACCAAGGGUUAUUAGGUGACGUGUCUGAGUAAGACCAAGAAGACUGAAGAGCAGAGCAUUGCACUUGUUGGUUUAGAGGAAGAAAACACUAAGCUCAAAAGCAGUGUGCAGCAGAUGGUGGGCUUUGUGUAUAAGAUCAAAGAUAGCUAUGAUGCUGCAGAGAAGAUACACCUACAAAUAGAGGAAUAGCAACAGGAGUGGGAGGCAAAGGUGGUCAGUGUCAGUAAAGACCACAGCCACAUCCAGGAGGAACUGCAGAAAACUGAGGGAUCCUUCUUUGAACUUGUGAGAAAGUCAAACAAGUUACUCAUGAGAAGAAUAAUUAUGUUGAGUACAACUGUGCUUUCAGUACUAUGCAGGAGAAACAUGAAAAGGCUCAAGAGGAACACAUGAACAAGAGAUGAAGAAAGCAUCAGGCAUAAUUAAACAUGCUGAAUUGAAGAUCUUUCUCUCACAGACUCUGUAACCAAGAAAGAUGCAGAGAUGAAGAGACACCCCACUCUUUUGGAAGACCUCACAGGGAACAUAAGAGGUUUAAGAACAAAGUAUGAAAGUGCAGAGGAUGAUGAACUAGAAAAAAAAAAUACAAGGCAUUAAGAAUGUUUUGGAAGAAGUUUAAGAAAGAAGCUUGCUUGUGGAUCCAAGGAGCCAGCAACUUAGAAGAAAUUGGCACCAAAGAAACAAUUAAAGCAGAAGAUGUGAAGAUAGGUGUGGUGAUGGUGAGGAUCCUGUGAUGCAGUAUUAAUACAUUGGAGGACAGGAUUCACCUCAACCAAGGCAGGAAUGAAAUAUGGAUGACGACUGGCCAAGUGGAUGAGGGCAAGGAGGUUUACUGUGAAGAGACAUGACAAGGAGGACCCUCAGACAACAGUACACAAGAGGAGAAACUAACAAGGAAAAUGGAGUUGAAGCUGUGAUGCCUGCAGUAGUGGUAGGAAUCCGAAGAUAACCAUGAAAUAUUAAUAAUUACGUGGAGUACAAGAGGAUGAGAAGAGUACUAGUAACAAAGUUCAACAGUAGUGAAUGGCCAACAGCAGGAGGAACAGGAACAUGACCUCAACCUGGAUCAGACCUUCAGUGAUAGAUACCCUAUUCUGUACAAGGGAUGUGUAGUUCAGACCUUCAGUGAUAGAUAGCACACUAUUCUGUACAAGGGAUGUGUAGUUCACUUUAUUACAGAUAGCAACAC